rnacentral:rRNA from 1 species
UCUCGGAAUUCGAUUAGAGUUUGAUCAUGGCUCAGAAUGAACGUUGGCGGCGUGGAUUAGGCAUGCAAGUCGAACGGGUCCGGUCUUCGGACCGGGUCAGUGGCGUAAGGGUGAGUAAGGCGACGGUAACCAACCCCGAGAUUGGGUAUAGCCGUGGGAAACCGCGGGUAAUCCCCAGCGACGCGUCGGGCCGGCAUCGGCCUGACGUCAAAGUUUCGGCGUCUUGGGACGGGCUGUCGUGGUAUUAGGUAGUUGGCGGGGUAACGGCCCACCAAGCCUUCGAUGCCUACCGGGCGUGCGAGCGUGGCCCGGCACACUGGGACUGAGACACUGCCCAGACACCUACGGGUGGCUGCAGUCGAGAAUCUUCGGCAAUGGGCGCAAGCCUGACCGAGCGACGCCGCGUGGAGGAUGAAGGCCUUCGGGUUGUAAACUCCUGUCGAGGGGGAGGAAGGGGAAACCUUGACCUAUCCCUGGAGGAAGCACGGGCUAAGUUCGUGCCAGCAGCCGCGGUAAGACGAACCGUGCGAACGUUAUUCGGAAUCAUUGGGCUUAAAGCGCGUGUAGGCGGAUGGGAACGUCGAUGUUGAAAGCCCCCGGCUCAACCGGGGAACUGGCGUCGAAACGACCCGUCUGGAGGGGCCAUAGGGGGAGCUGGACUUCCGGUGGAGCCGUUGAAUGCGUUGAGAUCGGAAGGACGCCCGGUGGCGAAGCGAACUCCUUGAAUG